AAUCCUUUGGAUACAUGCCAGAGGCGUCAGUGCUGGCAAGUCAGAUAAUUUCUGGGGAGCGAUGAAAUGUAAUAUGAGCAGCAGCAGCAGCAGCAGGUCUCCCGCGCUCAUGCCCUGGGUUGCCCUCCGCCUCCCACUGAAGGGCCAUUUCACCACACACAGCAGGAAGGGGCAGUUUCCUGCGUCCUGGCCCCUCGCAAAGCCCAAAUCACCAGGCCUCUGGGCUGUGGAGGGGUGCCUGUCUCUGGGCCCCUCCAUUUCACGGGGCGCAGCAGGCGGGGAGUCCCGCGCGGAGAGCCCCAGAAGCAGCAGACCACCGCUGUCUCUGCGGCUCUGGGGCCGCCGCCUCUUGCUUCCGACCCGCAGCGGACACGAAGGUGACGCCAGAGGGCGGUGAGAGGCCCGGGAGGCCUUGGACGCGGCGCCUCCAAGCCUCCAGUCUCCAGGGACACACGACCCCCGCCCCGCCGCCCUAGCUCCCUCUCGGCUUGGACUCCCCUCGCAGCUGGCCUCAGGUCUCCUAGCUCCCGCCCGGCCCGGCCUCCUCCCGUUCCCGCCCCUGCCGCCCUCGCUUCCGCCCGGGCCCUGACCGUUGAGGCAGGUGGCGGGCUGCGGGCAGAGCGGACUGUUGCAGGGCACGCUGGGCCGCAGGUGAGGAAACUAAAGUACAGAAGGACUGAGACAGGCCACACGCUGAAUGUAUGGCAAAGCCAUACUUGGACCCCAAGCAGUUUGACUGCAGAGUUCAGGCAGUAAUGACUCAGCAAUUCCACCUUUCAGCUAGUAAAUGCAAUCCUAUAGGGCUACUCUCCAAAGAUGGUCUCCAAUGAACCAGGCCUCCUGGAGUCAUGUGGGUCUACAACAUUGAACCUUAGUUGGUCUGUGACUCAUUUUAAUCAAUAGAAUGUCGAAGAUGUCAUUCUGUGCAUCUCUGGCCUAAGUGUCAAGAAGGCUUUUGUACUUCGGAGAGCCCUGUGCAACCUAUAAGAAAUUCAGCUACUUUGCUGGAAAGACUCAGUGAAGAGACCGCGUGGGAGGCCAUGUGAAGAGGGAGAGGCCCCAGGACUGCAUGGAGUGAGAAAGAGAGAGGCCCCGCAGCCAGUGUCCCACCUGAACCCAGCUUUUUCACUGUCCCACAGAGGUGCCAGACAUCUGUAAGUGAGCGUCAUGGACAUUUCAGCCAAUUGUAGCCCCAUAGGACUGCAGCCCAAAUUAAUCUCCUGGAGCGGAAGAACUGUCCAGCUGAGCCCGGUUGACUCACGGAAUCGUGAGAGAGAAUGAAAUGGUUAUUGCUUUCAGCCACUAAGUUUUAAGUUGGUUUGUUAUGUACAAUAGAUAACUGGAACACCUAGGGGUCUCCCUUGCUCCCAGUCUUGACUUGCCACCAGUCUAUUUUCCACACGAAAAAUUUUGUUUUAAAUUGUGGUAAAAUACACAUAACAUAAACUUCAUCAUCCUAACCA